CUGCACCUGAUACUGACCUUGCGGUCCCCAGCCCUGUGGCCCCCCUGCGUGGGCAGCUGCGGGCUGGGCCCCUGUGGCCCCCGGGUCUCCAGAGGUGCCAGAUUAAGCGCAGCCCUGAGAUUUAAGCUCUGAGUGUGGAGAUGCGCUCUGUGUUAUGACUCAGUGGCACAGAU